GAGCCAACUGUAAUGGUCACCAAGCUCGCCUUGCUGAACAUCAAAUCGCAAUACGAUCGUAUCAAAAACUUACAUGAGGUCGCAGC
rnacentral:sRNA from 1 species